GUUGUAUGGUUAAGUGACUAAGCGUACACGGUGGAUGCCUUGGCAGUCAGAGGCGAUGAAAGACGUAGUAACUUGCGAUAAGCCCAGAUUAGGUAGUAACAACCAUUUGAGUCUGGGAUUUCUGAAUGGGGAAACCCACGUGCAUAAGCACGUAUCCUUACCUGAAUACAUAGGGUAAGGAGGCGAACCGGGGGAACUGAAACAUCUAAGUACCCCGAGGAAAAGAAAUCAACCGAGAUUCCGAAAGUAGCGGCGAGCGAAAUUGGACUAGCCCUUAAGCUUUACACGCGUUAGACGAACGGUCUGGAAAGUCCGACGAUACAGGGUGAUAGUCCCGUAGUUGACGACGUGUGUUCAGUGAAAUCGAGUAGGGCGGGACACGUGAUAUCCUGUCUGAAUAUGGGGGGACCAUCCUCCAAGGCUAAAUACUACUGACUGACCGAUAGUGAACCAGUACCGUGAGGGAAAGGCGAAAAGAACCCCUGUGAGGGGAGUGAAAUAGAACCUGAAACCGUGUACGUACAAGCAGUAGGAGCAGGCUUUGUCCUGUGACUGCGUACCUUUUGUAUAAUGGGUCAGCGACUUAUAUUCAGUGGCAAGGUUAACCAUCUAGGGGAGCCGUAGGGAAACCGAGUCUUAACUGGGCGUUCAGUCUCUGGAUAUAGACCCGAAACCAGGUGAUCUAGCCAUGGGCAGGUUGAAGGUUGAGUAACAUCAACUGGAGGACCGAACCGACUAAUGUUGAAAAAUUAGCGGAUGACUUGUGGCUAGGGGUGAAAGGCCAAUCAAACCUGGAGAUAGCUGGUUCUCCCCGAAAGCUAUUUAGGUAGCGCCUCGGACGAAUACUACUGGGGGUAGAGCACUGUUAAGGCUAGGGGGUCAUCCCGACUUACCAACCCUUUGCAAACUCCGAAUACCAGUAAGUACUAUCCGGGAGACACACGGCGGGUGCUAACGUCCGUCGUGGAGAGGGAAACAACCCAGACCGCCAGCUAAGGUCCCAAAUUACUACUAAGUGGGAAACGAUGUGGGAAGGCUCAGACAGCCAGGAUGUUGGCUUAGAAGCAGCCAUCAUUUAAAGAAAGCGUAAUAGCUCACUGGUCGAGUCGGCCUGCGCGGAAGAUGUAACGGGGCUAAGUAGUAAACCGAAGCUGCGGCAAUGUGCUUUUGCACAUUGGGUAGGGGAGCGUUCUGUAAGCGGUUGAAGGUGUGUGGUAACGCAUGCUGGACGUAUCAGAAGUGCGAAUGCUGACAUGAGUAACGAUAAAGGGGGUGAAAAACCUCCUCGCCGGAAGACCAAGGGUUCCUGUCCAACGUUAAUCGGGGCAGGGUAAGUCGACCCCUAAGGCGAGGCCGAAAGGCGUAGUCGAUGGGAAACGGGUUAAUAUUCCCGUACUUCUUACAAUUGCGAUGGGGGGACGGAGAAGGCUAGGUGGGCCUGGCGACGGUUGUC
rnacentral:rRNA from 1 species